rnacentral:lncRNA from 1 species
GAGCUCGGAGGAUCGAGCACGAGGGAUUUCCAGGAUUCGUGAGAUACCGAGAUACGCGAGGUGAGUCUUCUCACUAUACUUUACCUUGAGUAGGUAAUCAGAGCUAUGUGUUAGUGUAUGUAUGUUAUGUGUAUGCUAUGUGUUGUACUGCAUUAUUUCUAUGUGAUUUAUGCUGUGCAUGUUUACAGAGUUGGAACCGGAAGGUUCCUAGAGUUAGAACCUGAGGGUUCACAGAGUUUGGGUGCACGGACCCAUAGAGUUAUAGCCUCGAGUGGCUAAUAUGUGUUUUAUGUGUGGUAUUUUGGGGAACUCACUAAGCUUCGUGCUUACAGUGUUAGUGUUGUUGUUUCAGGUACUAGCGAUGACCGUGGGAAGGCGCCGGCUUGAUCCGUACACACUCAGGGGACUUUUGAUAUGUAUUUAUGAGAUCUUGGGAUUUGUAUGACAUGAUUUGGAAUUUUAAUCUUAACGUUUUAUGAAAUUAAAUGAGAAAUGUUUUUAUAUUUGCGAAAAAUUAUUUUGAAAAUUUACGGUGUUACAAGUUGGUAUCAGAGCCUUGGUUUGAGGGAUUCGAGUACACCUUCGGGCGUAUUUGAACUCAAACUGAGGAUUUGAGAUGUAUUUUCGAAAAAAGUAAAAGAUUUUUGAAAAACGCAGAGCAAGAGAUGUGUGUACGAUCAGUCAGCGCCCGAACGGUGAUUUCCCAAAAUACCUUUAUAUAUUAUGUGAUAUUGAUAUUGAUAUGAUGUAUCCGCAUGCUAGAGUAGGCUAGGUAUUGCUAUUAGGACUAGAGUGGCCUGAUUUGUGAUGCCUUAGCCUAGGGAGAGGUGAGCUGCUAUGAGAUGCUUGAGAGUGAGUAGGUAGCAGCGAGGGGCUUAUGAGAGAUCUAUUAGAGAGUGGUCUACGCAUGAUAGAGUACUUGGGACUUGGGAUCCGAAGAGGAGGACUUGGGGUGUAUUCUGGUGCGGUGCGGACAGUAGUAUUGGGCCCGUACUACUGGAAGCACCGGAGCGGUGUGCAGCCCAAGUAAGAAUCUUUGGAAUGCCAAGAAUCAAGGAGGAAAGAGUUGACGAGUGUGAGCAUACUCGUGUGGAUUCUAAUUUAUCGUAUGUUGUAUUUCAGAGGUAGAUCAUGGUGAGGACACGUUUGAUGCCCGAGAGCAGUGGUACCAGUGAGGAGGAGAUCCGCCGGAUCAUUCAGGAGGAGGUGGCUGCGGCCAUCAGGGCAGAGAUACCGGAGAUGUUUGGGUCUAUAAAGACCACAUUGAUUGAGACGUUUGAUGAGCGUUAUGCCGCUCUUUCUGAGGCUGCUGCUGCAGCGGCUACCGCAGCGAUUGCUGCUGCGAGGCCGCAGGGUGGGGAUGCGUUGCUGUUCCGUGAGUUCAGCAACACAAAACCACCAGAGUUUGAUGGUACUCAGGAUCCGGUGGCAGCUAUGAGGUGGAUAUCUGAUAUUGAGGGGUGUUUCUUCACUUGCUCGUCUCCUGAGCAUUUGAAGGUACGGUUCGCGCUGAACCAGCUUCGCUUGGGAGCGAAGGACUGGUGGAAGUUUGUGACGGCGCAUUAUUCGCCUGCUGAGCUUUCUGCGGUGACCUGGGAGAGGUUCACCACUAUGUUUCGGGAUGAGUACGUUCCCCAGGUGGAGAGGGAGCGUUUAGCACAGGAGUUUCUGACCCUCAAGCAGGGUACUGAGUCUGUUACAGCGAUCACGAGGAUGUUCCACGAGAGGGCGAUGUUCUGCCCUGAGCACGUGUCCACUGAGCAGGCACGUAUGAGCCGCUACUUGAGCAUCUUGAGGAGGGAUAUUCGGGAGUUCGCUGCGAACUCCUCGUACCGGACAUUUGCCGAGCUUCAGGCAAAUGCCCGGAAGAGGGAGAUUGAGCUUGAGACCCAGGCCAGGGAGGAGGCAGAGUCUCAGGGGAGGGAUCGGCGACCGGCGUUGUCGCAGCCGGCCGCCAAGCGGGCCAAGCCUGCUGAUCCCAGACCAGGGAGCCAGAAGGGCCGCACUUGCGGAAAGUGCGGCAAGGGUCAUGACGGAGUCUGCCGAGCAGGGUCUUGCUACAAAUGUGGCAAGGAGGGGCACAUGGCCAAGGACUGCCCCAAGGGGUUUGCAGUGUGCUUUCACUGCAACCAGACCGGACACCGGAAGGCCGAGUGUCCGCAGUUGCGCGGAGCAUCUCAGGGGUCUGCUCCUGCCGCCACCAGAGUUACAGAGAGUCGGCCUGUGAAGGCCGAGACGCCGAGAGCUCGAGGGAGAGCCUUCCAGCUGACUGCGGAGGAGGUCCGCGCUGCGCCCGAUGUUGUGGCUGGUAUGUUUCCUUUCGUGUAUUUAUUUUGACAUAUGAUGUUAUGCUUAUAUUAUGUUAUGUGUAGGUACUUUUCUUGUGAAUUCCGUACCUGCUUUAGUGUUAUUUGACUCGGGUGCGAGUCGGUCUUUUGUAUCUUUGGCCUUUAGCCAGCAUAUCAGUGCUAGUCGUGAGGCACUGAGUCGGCCUCUGAGAGUCUCCAUAGCUGAUGAUAGAGUGAUUUGUGCCACAGAGGUUUUCCGGGGAUGUGUGUUAGAGAUCUUCGGGAUUGAGUUUCCGAUUGAUCUGAUUCCUAUUGCGAUGGGUGAUGUUUGUGUCAUUGUGGGCAUGGACUGGUUGAGCCGAUUCGGCGCGAUUAUCGACUGUGAGCGUCAGCUGGUGACUAUACGAGACCCUAGUGGGGGAGUUCUUUCGGUGUACGGUGAGGGUACACGUUCGGGAUCAGCCUUUUGUUCGGCCGCCAGGGCGAGGCAGUGUCUACAGCAGGGCUGUAAGGGUUUUGUGGCGUAUGUGAUGGAUACGCGAGCGACUUCCGAGAGACCGAGUUCAGUUGGGGAGGUACCGGUGGUAUGUGAGUUUCCAGAUGUCUUUCCCGAGGAGCUGCCGGGAGUACCUCCUGUGAGGCAAGUAGAGUUUGGUAUUGAUUUGGUUCCGGGGGCUGCGCCUAUAGCUAAGGUGCCUUAUCGUCUUGCACCUCCAGAGAUGCAAGAGUUAUCCUCGCAGCUUCAGGAGUUGCUGGGGAAGGGAUUUAUUCGGCCGAGCAGCUCGCCGUGGGGAGCACCUAUUCUGUUUGUCAAGAAGAAGGAUGGUUCACACCGGAUGUGUAUUGAUUACCGGGAGUUGAACAAGCUGACGGUCAAGAACCGUUACCCGUUGCCGAGGAUCGACGAUUUAUUUGAUCAGUUGCAGGGAGCAUCUUGGUUUUCCAAGAUCGAUUUGAGGUCGGGAUAUCAUCAGGUGAGGGUGCGAGAUGAGGACGUCCAGAAGACAGCUUUCAGGACGCGUUAUGGGCAUUAUGAGUUUGUGGUGAUGCCUUUUGGGCUCACCAAUGCCCCGGCGGUGUUCAUGGAUCUCAUGAACAGGGUAUGUAGGCCGAUGUUGGAUCGGUCGGUGAUUGUAUUUAUCGAUGAUAUUCUGGUGUAUUCGAGAUCUAGGGAGCAGCAUGAGGAACAUUUGAGGGAGGUCCUUGGGGUACUGAGAUCGGAGAAGCUUUAUGCAAAGUUCUCCAAGUGUGAUUUCUGGUUACGGGAGGUCCAGUUCCUAGGACAUCUCGUUAACCAGGAAGGGAUUCUGGUCGAUCCGGCCAAGGUUGAGGCGGUGAUGGGUUGGGAGGUGCCAAAGUCACCCUCUGAGAUCAGGAGCUUCCUUGGAUUAGCAGGGUAUUAUCGGAGAUUUAUCAAGGAUUUCUCCAAGAUCGCAGUGCCGCUCACCAGGUUGACCCGGAAGGGUGUUGCAUUCUCAUGGGGUCCCGAGCAGCAGACCUCCUUUGAGACACUUCGCCAGAGGUUGUGCGAAGCCCCGGUAUUAGCUCUCCCGGAAGGGAUGGAGGAUUUUGUAGUAUAUUGUGAUGCAUCGAUUUUGGGGUUGGGUGCGGUGUUGAUGCAGAGGGGUCAUGUGAUAGCAUAUGCAUCGAGGCAGCUGAAGCCUCAUGAGACGAGAUAUCCCACGCAUGAUCUAGAGUUGGGGGCAGUAGUGUUCGCCCUCAAGAUUUGGCGCCACUACUUAUAUGGGGUUCGAUGUACGAUAUACACGGACCAUAAGAGCUUGAAGUACUUGAUGGAUCAGCCCAAUCUAAACAUGCGUCAGAGGAGGUGGUUAGAUGUGGUCAAGGAUUAUGAUUGUGAGAUCCUGUACCACCCGGGCAAGGCCAACGUGGUGGCCGAUGCGUUGAGCCGCAGGGCGGAGAGCACUCCAUUGCGAGAUGUAUGUUUGAGAUUGACCAUGAUAGCUCCGGUAUUGGAUGCCAUUCGUGGGGCACAGGCCGAGGCUGUGCAGCCGGAGAUGCAGAAGAGGGAACGGGUCGUUGGUUUGGUUUCAGAAUUCGUUACGGAUGGGCGAGGGCUUAUGACUUUUCAGGGUCGGAUUUGGGUACCGUUCGUGGGUGGUACGCGCACUUCCUUGAUGGAGGAGGCUCAUCGGUCGAAAUUUUCGAUCCAUCCGGGGGCUACGAAGAUGUAUUUGGAUUUGAGGAGAGAGUAUUGGUGGCCCUGUAUGAAGAGGGACGUCGCAUGGUUCGUUGAGAGGUGCUUGACCUGUCGUAGGGUUAAGGCCGAGCACCAGAGACCACAUGGCAAGUUGCAGCCAUUGGAGGUUCCCGAAUGGAAAUGGGAACAGAUCACUAUGGAUUUCAUCACCAAAUUGCCGAGAACUGCCAGGGGAGUUGAUGCAAUUUGGGUGAUUGUGGAUAGGUUGACGAAGAGCGCUCACUUCCUUGCCAUCAGUGAGAGUUCUUCAGCAGAGAAGUUGGCAGAGUUAUAUGUGAGAGAAGUGGUAUCUCGGCAUGGGGUGCCGAUCUCGAUUGUUUCAGACCGUGAUGUGCGCUUUACUUCCAGAUUCUGGAAGAAAUUUCAUGAGGAGUUGGGUACUAGAUUGCAUUUUAGUACCGCAUAUCAUCCCCAGACAGACGGUCAGAGUGAGCGGACGAUUCAGACGCUUGAGGACAUGCUUCGAGCAUGUGUGUUGGAUUUUGGGGGUAGCUGGGAUGCGUAUCUACCCUUGGCAGAGUUUUCCUACAACAACAGCCAUCAUUCGAGCAUUGGUAUGCCACCCUUUGAGCUGUUGUAUGGUAGGAGGUGUCGGACCCCCAUUUGCUGGGGAGAGGUCGGGCAGAGAGUGAUGGGCAGUACCGAGAUCGUGCUUCAGACGACAGAGCAGAUUCAGCAGGUCAGACAGAGGUUGUUGACCGCCCAGAGUCGACAGAAGAGUUAUGCAGACAGACGCCGGUCCGAGCUUGAGUUUCAGGUCGGCGACUUCGUUCUCCUGAAGGUCUCUCCUUGGAAAGGAGUGAUUCGAUUCAGGAAGAGGGGCAAGUUGGGGCCCCGGUAUAUUGGGCCAUUUCGUGUGAUUGCGAGGGUAGGCCGGGUAGCCUAUCGUUUGGAAUUGCCAGCAGAGUUGGGGCAAAUCCACGACACUUUUCAUGUGUCGCAAUUGAGGAAAUGUAUUGCCGAUGAGUCGGCAGUAGUUCCAUUAGAGGAUAUUCAGGUGGAUGCGAGCCUGAAUUAUGCCGAGAGACCAGUAGCCAUCAGAGAUCGGAAGAUCAAGGUUCUGAGGAACAAGGAGGUACCUUUGGUGUUGGUUCAGUGGCAACACCGGAAGGGAUCAGAGAUGACCUGGGAGCCGGAGCGCGAGAUGCGGGCUCAGCAUCCGGAGCUAUUUUAGAGCGAGACUUCGAGGGCGAAGUCUAAUCCUAGUGGGGGAGAAUUGUAACAGCCCGGAUCUCCAGGUAUUUUAUUGUUUUAAUAUUUUGAGUUUUGAGAAGGGACUCGGCGAGUUGGAGCUCAGACUCGCCGAGUAGGGUCGCGAUUCUGGACGCGGGAUUCGUUCGGACUCGGCGAGUCCAGGAUAUGGACUCGGCGAGUCCACGCUGUUUAAUGAAACCCUAAUUUCUCGGGUUUGGGACCUAUUUAAAUGGCCUUAUGGCCGUCAUUUGCAUCCAUCAGUCCAUAGAGAGAAACCCUAAAAGUGCUUUAGCGAUUUGAGAGUGAAAGGAGGCAUUUCUUGACAUUUGUGUGUUGUUUAGCAAAGAAGAAGGAGGCUCUAGCCAAGAGGAGGCAAAGGGGACUGCUAUUUGGUGGAUUGGAAGCUUGACCCUUCAAUCUAAAGGUAUAAUUUCGACUCAUCUCCUGUUUUGUGAAGUAUAACCGAUUUUAGGGUUUCUUGUGGCCUUGUUGAGUUGAUUUGAUGGCCAAAUAGUCCCAUGCUAGUGAUGAGACUUCGGAUCUGGAUCCAUAGAGGUCCAGAGAGUCUCAUUCUUCAAGCUUUAUAGAGAACAAUGGAGGUCAUGACCUUGUGUAGUGAGAUUUGUUGAAGAUUCUUCAUAAUUAGUCAUAUAGAGGUUGUUAAUGCAUCAAGACUAGGACUUUACGUGAUGAAUCAGUCUAGGAGGGCCAGAUCUAUGAAUUGUUGGAGUAGAUCUGACCUUAGAAGCAAGUUUGAGUGAUUGCAUGGAAUGGACUCGCCGAGUCCGAUGAGCAGACUCGGCGAGUAGCUUGAAGAUUGCCCUUAGAUCGGCCAGUGAGUGGUCCAGUCGAGUCAUGGGUUGACUCAGUGAGUCAGGGCGAGUUAGGAAGGGUGGUCAGUGGACUGAGUCGAACUGGGACUCGCCGAGUUGUUCUUGGAACUCGGCGAGUUGAGUCGGGGUGGCCCCGCGAUUCUGCCAGGUGGAACUCGACGAGUCAGGGGGAGCACUCGAAGUGUAAAAAGGGAAUUCUAGAGAGUUGGUGAAAACGUCUAGACUCGCCGAGUUGCCCUUGUGCACUCGCCGAGUCCGGUCAAAGUAGACCGUUGACCGUUGUCCAGAGUUGACCUGUGUUGACUUCUUAGGGAUAGUCAACCUUAGAGAUAAAAAGUGUUAAUUAGAGUCAUGUGAUGUUAUAGGAGGAUUAGAGCUCGGAGGAUCGAGCACGAGGGAUUUCCAGGAUUCGUGAGAUACUGAGAUACGCGAGGUGAGUCUUCUCACUAUACUUUACCUUGAGUAGGUAACCAGAGCUAUGUGUUAGUGUAUGUAUGUUAUGUGUAUGCUAUGUGUUGUACUGCAUUAUUUCUAUGUGAUUUAUGCUGUGCAUGUUUACAGAGUUGGAACCGGAAGGUUCCUAGAGUUAGAACCUGAGGGUUCACAGAGUUUGGGUGCACGGACCCAUAGAGUUAUAGCCUCGAGUGGCUAAUAUGUGUUUUAUGUGUGGUAUUUUGGGGAACUCACUAAGCUUCGUGCUUACAGUGUUAGUGUUGUUGUUUCAGGUACUAGCGAUGACCGUGGAAAGGCGCCGGCUUGAUCCGUACACACUCAGGGGACUUUUGAUAUAUAUUUAUGUGAUCUUGGGAUUUGUAUGAUACGAAUUAGAAUUUUAAACUUAACGUUUUGUGAAAUUA